UACGUAGGGUGCAAGCGUUAAUCGGAAUUACUGGGCGUAAAGCGUGCGCAGGCGGUUAUGCAAGACAGAUGUGAAAUCCCCGGGCUCAACCUGGGAACUGCAUUUGUGACUGUAGAGCUGGAGUGCGGCAGAGGGGGAUGGAAUUCCGCGUGUAGCAGUGAAAUGCGUAGAUAUGCGGAGGAACACCGAUGGCGAAGGCAAUCCCCUGGGCCUGCACUGACGCUCAUGCACGAAAGCGUGGGGAGCAAACAGG
rnacentral:rRNA from 1 species